GCCCCUUCCCCUUGGAGACAUCCGAUCAAAUUGGAACUAUACAGAGAAGAUUAGCAUGGCGCCUGCGCAACGAUAACACGCACAAAUCAAGAGUUCUGUUGUGCAUGC